GAUGAACGCUAGCGGCAGGCCUAAUACAUGCAAGACGAACGGUAAGUUGAGUAGCAAUACUUAGCCAAGAGUGUCGUACGGGUGCGUAACACGUAUGCAACCUACCCUAUACAGGAGGAUAGCCUAGGGAAACCUGGAUUAACCCUUCAUAGUAUUAUUGGAUGGCAUCAUUUGAUAAUUAAAACUGAGGUGGUAUAGGAUGGGCAUGCGUCUGAUUAGUUAGUUGGCGGGGUAAUGGCCCACCAAGACGAUGAUCAGUAGGGGUUCUGAGAGGAAGAUCCCCCACACUGGCACUGAGAUACGGGCCAGACUCCUACGGGAGGCAGCAGUAGGG
rnacentral:rRNA from 1 species